rnacentral:rRNA from 1 species
AUGUGUCCAAUGGAGUUAAAUGGUCCUCCAUUUGGUCAACCAACAACUCCAGCACCUUUCGAGCAAUCUCAUGUGCAAGUGCGCACACAAGAUGAAUUUGAUGAUAUAGAGAAGCUCACAUUGCUUAGUCUCGAGUUCACUUCGAGUGCCGAGGAUGAUCCUAUUAGGAAGGUUAUACUAGAUGAAAUGAAGAAGAUCAAGAGUGGAAAAGAGCUAGUGGAAGAAGUAAGGAAGAUUGAGAAGAACAUCAACGCUGGCAGCACUAUUUCUUCACAACUUGAGUUGAGUGUGGCUGAGAUAUCCAUGGAUACAUGUGAGGUUCCAACACCUUCACAUUUCGUUGAGCAAGAUAGCAAGUGCCUUGAGCAAGAGAUACCUCAGAUUGAAGAAGAUGAACUAGAAGACAAGGAACAAGAUGGUCAAGAGCUGCAAUUCCCAAGUGAUCAAGUUGAAGACUCAUCAUCUAUUACUCCUGAAGAAGUACAAGAAGCUGCUGUAGAUGAAGAUGAAGAACAUGAGAUUCAUUUGCCUAUUGUCGUACCAGAGCGUGAUGUGUCAGGUUUACUCAAUCCUCUUGAUGACAUGAUGCCUUGUGAUUUCUUUGCUACCACCUUGCAUUACAUGAUGCCAUCUGUUAAAGUAGAUUUGAAAAAGUAUUUGCUUGGAUAUGAUCAUAUAUACCCUGUUAGUGGCAUUACUCACAUUAAUGAUGAUCACAUUUACUUUCCUCGUGCUAGACCUAUGCUUAAUGAAACAUAUCAUUCUUAUGCUAGUCUUGAGCUUAAUGAAAAAUAUCAUCCUCAUGUUAGUGUUGACUUUGCUCAUUUCUACCAUUCUAAACAUGUGCUUUAUAGCUAUGCUUAUGUAAUUGGGUACUCUAUUGAUGAUUUAGAGGGCAUCUACCCUAUCACUUGUAGUUGUUGUUUGUGUGAGUCCUAUUUCAGGUUUUUGCUUGUGCAUGAAUCAAUACAUGCUGACCAAGUUCGAGAUGACAUCCCAUGGGAUCCUGGUGGACCCAAAGCAUGGCGAUGA